AGACCCAAACCCGAUUCCUCGAUGCACCGACACACACACGAUCUAAAAUUCCUCCUCCGGCGGCGGCGGCGGCCCAGAUCCCUCAACCAAGAACUGGGCGAGUACGACCAAUGGAGGCGUGUUCCAGUGGGGAAGCACCUCAGAGCUGAUCAGAUCGGAACGGAGCAGAUCGGAUGACUCCUGGCCGUUGUGUCGCCGCCCACCUGGUUACGCAGAGCAGAUCGGAGCUCGCCGGCUACUAAGCUCCGCCCUGCUUUGUGCUCGUCACUGGUCACUGCCUCCCCAUCCGAGGUUCCAGGAGCGGUGGGUUCGUCGCUUCCUCCUUCACCUCGUCGGCUCCAAGCAGGGAAAGUAAUAUGGCUCGUGCCCUUGUUUCUAAUGCGGAAGGUACCCUAAUUUCUGAUUUCAUUCAUGCCAUACUAUCGGACGAUGUAAGUUUAUUCUCUAAUCGAUAAUGUUGCCAUGAAGGCUUUAGGCGCAUUGCUUAUUUUCUUAGCAGAUACACUUAGAUUAGUUCAUUUCCUCCCUCUGGUUUGUCAUGCUGUGUUUGUGUUGUGUACCAUGAAGAUAGCAAUGCAGUUAAUUAGCAGAUACAGACUGGGAUUAGCAGCACAAGAAGCUCAAUGAGCAAGAAGCACUCGGUGAGCAUGAAGCACAAGAUGCAAAGGCUGUAGCUUUUAUGUGAUGUACCACCAAGAUAGUAAUGCAGCUUUUAAUGGCCGUGCUUGUUGGGUUGUGAUUAUUUUAGUCUACUUAGUCUUGCCCGUGUUGUAACAAAAGUAAUCCUCUCAUGCUAUUUAACAUUUGAUAUGUAUGUAUCUCUUCUGUUUGUGUCUUAUAUGGGACUGUCAGGUUUGAAAUGUAUGCUUAGUUAUGCUUGAA